rnacentral:rRNA from 1 species
AACGAACGAGGGAGGAAGGAAGAACACAUGCAAGUCGAACGAGACCUUCGGGUCUAGUGGCGCACGGGUGCGUAACGCGUGGGAACCUGCCCUUAGGUUCGGAAUAACUCCCCGAAAGGGGUGCUAAUACCGGAUAAUGUCUUCGGACCAAAGAUUUAUCGCCUUUGGAUGGGCCCGCGUUGGCUUAGCUAGUUGGUCGGGUAAAAGCCUACCAAGGCGACGAUCCAUAGCUGGUCUGAGAGGAUGAUCAGCCACACUGGGACUGAGACACGGCCCAGACUCCUACGGGAGGCAGCAGUGGGGAAUAUUGGACAAUGGGCGAAAGCCUGAUCCAGCAAUGCCGCGUGAGUGAUGAAGGCCUUAGGGUUGUAAAGCUCUUUUACCCGGGAUGAUAAUGACAGUACCGGGAGAAUAAGCUCCGGCUAACUCCGUG